CAUAGAUAAGAUAUAGACGACAAACAUAUUAUUGUUUUACUUUUUCUCCUUUUUUCCAGUUCUUCGAUGAAUAACUAGAACUUUAUAUGCGAAGCCAAAAAUUUUUACUCUUUAAAUUUUGAGUAAAAUGAGAAUUUUAUAGAAUAUUUAUUUAUUUUUUUACUUUAAAAUGCUGUUUUUAGAAUCAGAAAUAUAUAUAUAUUUUUGGAUUUUUAAUGGUUUUUAAACGGAAGGGUGGUAAAUUUGUCAUCAUUCGAAAGUUGCUCGUACUCGUAUAUACUGAUAAUUAUUGUUCGUAUUUAGCAAAGUUGAUAUCGUUAAAUUAUUAGCAGACUAAUUCAACUACAGGUGCAGGAGCUAAAACAAUCUAAAAAUACAAACAAAUGUAAUAAUGGAUCAUAUAUUUUUGAAGAUUAGAAUGUUUAUACAAAACAUAUUGACAGAACAUAUAUUGAAUUCAAUAGGAGCAUUAGUAUGCUCCUGUGUAAAUCUUAGACAGAUAUCCCGAUGGAUUACAACCCUGCUACAGGGACAGAUAGAAAGAAAGAAGGUACAACAGGAGAACGAUUGGGAGAUUUACUCGGCAUUAAUCAGUUUUUGAUUUUUAGGUGCAAAGUAUCUAUUACUCUUAAAUCAAUACGAAGGAUGAGCGUAUAGAUAAAUUCGCUCAACCAAGCUUUGGAAAUGCACAUUCCAACAGUCUCUCGUGCACGAAGUUGCAUAGUAACCCGGUCAUCAUCAAGAACCGACGAAACUGCCGCGACUGUCUCUACCGAAAGGAUCGAAACAUGAGUCGACAACUUCUGAGUUUUCCUUCGCAACUGCAAGUUCUCCCGUGAGCAGGAAAAUCUCCUUGAGGAAUGGCUUGGCCAUAGUAUGGCUCCGCCGAUAGCCAGUGGUAAGGAAAGAGAAAAACUUAAUCACAUUUCUCUUAUUAUUAACCAAGUCAAAAAUCGCUCAAUCCUCAAAUUAUACUCAAAACUGUCACAAGGGAAGAAUGUUCAAGGCUUAUAGCUUCCACUGUCUACAAGGGUCAAGAGAUUUGAGUUUAUUAUCUAAAGCAGUAAAUGUGCCCUAAAGCAGAUUGCCAUGGAGACAAUAUCGACUGAUACCUUUAAAUCCUUAUCACACAGACACUGCUCGGAUAAGUUUCACGAAGUUUAGCAUUUUUCACGGGAAGCAUAAACCUCCUAUUGUGAGGUCGCCGACCCCGUCAUCUUACGGGAUGUACCAAGCGUUUCCAUGUUUAAUCGUCAGGUCCUGACACCAGGAGAAGUUAUUCCCGAAUAUAAACGCCUGAGCAAGUGGCACAGGGAUCCAGGAUUGGGAGUGGGAGUGACUUGGGAGUUCAUUUUUUAGCAAUCUUUUAUCACGCACAGAGCAUAUGACAGAUCGAUUCUAAUUCUGAAGUUUAAAUAUUUAGGAACUCGACAAGCGAGCAGUAAAGUAGCUUAUUUGGUGAGUAGCUUGCACAGUUAAUAUAUGCUAACUGUACGUGUUGAGCUCUCUUGGCCUCUCCUGGUUUCUGACUGGUCCUUAUGGAUGCUGCAGGACUAAUCUACUAAAAACAGGACGAGACUCGAAGGGAACGAAUUUCUCUGACGCCCCAUAACAGGUGGUAUCUAGGGACAUCAACGUGUGUCUGCAAAAGCUCUAACAGGUUUCAGAAACGUCUUGGCAAAAUACUCUCCCAAUCGAGAACUUCUAAAUUUCAUCACAGACAAAAUGAUCCUACUAGUCCGAUAAUCAGAUGUAAACGUAACAGGCAGGACCAAGCCUACUGAAAUAUCAAGAUGGUUGCCCUCCGGUAAUUAUAUUGACGACAGAGGAAAAUUCAAAAUGAUGAUAAUUUUUAUUUAUAUCUUCAUAAAUAAACAAAAACUACUUAGGUAUUUAUCAUUUUAUUUUUUACUUAUCAUUCGACCGAUGUUACAGAGAUCGUUUAAGAUUUCUCCGCUGAACAAUUGGUUAUCUUAUGCUGAUUAAAAAAACAUUAUAGCGAUUUAUACUUUUCAAUGUUUCAGUUUUUCGGGUCUAUAUUCUUAUAUAUUAAAAAUAUUUUAUUUACAGAAAAUAUUUUUUGAAGAAUCUUAGCAAUAUUAACUGUUUUAUACAUGGAUAGUCUGCUUAAUACUAGCGGUAGUGAAGCCACCGAAAUGGUGGUGUAACGUGGUAUAAUAAUGCAUAUUGGGAUACUACUCACUUUUUUUAUUAAUUGUUUAGAUCUGGUCAUCAUAUUUACUAAGAUAUAUGGAAUAGGUCUGGCCAUCAAAACAAAGUCCAUCGUCAAUUUUACGACAUUGCUACAUUGGUUUACUCUACCAGCUGGAUGGCUUCUUUCGUUGCUAGUACUGAGCAGCCUACCCAUCUCGGUUUUAUCGAAUGAUAGUUUAAACGAACUAAUUAAUAGGUUUUUUUUUUUAUAAAAAUAAUUUGAUAAACAUGCUUUCAUAGAACAAAAUCUAUAAGAUCAAUCAGUAAUAUCAAACAAGGAAUUUUUAUUAUAAAAUAAUAUUCAGGUAUAUAAACUAUAAAUUAUGCCG
rnacentral:lncRNA from 1 species